AGUACAUUUGCACCGUGUCCUAGAGAGCCUCUAUGCAUUUCAACUCUGAUUCUCCUUCACCAUCUACGCGCAGCCCACAACCGCAGGACCCCACCCCUGGCUCUGAAUCUCCCAUGUCCUGGCGCCAAGCAGGGAUGACAUUUGAGAGCCACCAAAGAUGGGCAGGAAAAACAAAGGCCACCACAGAGGAAGCUGAAGGCAGAAAGAGAUGCAGAGAAAGUGGGAGAAACUCGGCUGUGCUUUGUGGGGGCCCUGCAGGGACAUCAGCUCCUGAAGGGGUGAAAGAAAGGGUCCCCUGAACUUUGACACUGUUCUUCUCGAGGCCUGGCCAGCCCUGUGGCU
rnacentral:lncRNA from 1 species